rnacentral:rRNA from 1 species
UACGGAGGGUGCAAGCGUUGUUCGGAAUUAUUGGGCGUAAAGGGCGCGUAGGCGGUCCAAUAAGUCGGAUGUGAAAGCCCUGGGCUCAACCCAGGAAGGGCAUCCGAAACUGCUGGACUUGAGUACGGGAGAGGGAAGUGGAAUUCCUGGUGUAGGGGUGAAAUCCGUAGAUAUCAGGAGGAACACCGGUGGCGAAGGCGACUUCCUGGACCGAUACUGACGCUGAGGCGCGAAAGCGUGGGGAGCAAACAGG